AGUGCUGAAGAGUCCCAUACUAGGACGAAACGUUCGUCCAUAGU
rnacentral:hammerhead_ribozyme from 1 species